GGCCGGUGUAGCUCAGCCGGUAGAGCACCGCAUGGUUUCGCCGAUGUCGUUGUUCUCUGGACACCUCACGUCACGCACCUCCCGGUGCGCGGGCUGCGGCUCCUUCCUUGCAGAGAAUCAGGCCGCCGCCACCUCGAUCUCGGGAGGCACGCGUGCGGGAUGCCCGGUGCGCAGGCAACGGUUACUUCCAGGGAUCAGGAGGGGGCGGGUUCGAAUCCCGCCCGGCCCCCGGGCCGGUAGCUCAGCUGGACA
rnacentral:tRNA from 1 species